CCACAGGAAAUAAACAUCUGGACACAGACACCCUUCUGUUCCAUCAGCCAGGAGUGCAAGCAAGCACCAGGCCAAGUUCUCCAACCAACACAUUGUCCCACGUCUCUGGAGAGGAGGAGGUGGUGGCUGUAAGUGUUACAGGGAAUCAUGUGGGGAAAGCAGAAGCUCAAAGGCAGCUGCAGAGGAGCAUUGCCUGGAAAGCUGCUCUCAGAGCCUAGAGCAGUGCCUGGUGACCAUCGGAGGAUUUAAUUUGCCAAUAGAUGCCACAAAUACCAAAGGCACCUCCAUCUGCUGCUGUACAGAAUAUGAUCACAGGAAAAACCCAGGAGUCCAUAACUCUGGAGUGGUGAUGCUGGGGUAAAGCCGCUGAAUGAGG